rnacentral:rRNA from 1 species
UACGUAGGUGGCAAGCGUUGUCCGGAUUUCCUGGGCGUAAAGAGCGCGCAGGCGGUCGUUCAAGUCGCGUGUGAAAGCCCCCGGCUCAACUGGGGAGGGUCACGCGAUACUGAUCGACUCGAAGGCAGGAGAGGGUAGUGGAAUUCCCGGUGUAGUGGUGAAAUGCGUAGAUAUUCGGAAGAACACCAGUGGCGAAGGCGACUCACUGGACAUGUAUUGACGCUGAGGUACGAAAGCGUGGGGAGCAAACAGG